AUUCCAGCUCCAAUAGCGUAUAUUAAAGUUGUUGCAGUUAAAAAGCUCGUAGUUGGAUUUCUGGGAGGGUGCCAAUGUCCGUCGUCGUACGUGUUGCAGCGGCGCCCUUCCAUCCUUCUGUUAACGACUUUGGGCAUUCACUUGCCGGAGUCGGGCUCAGAUAUUUUACCUUGAGAAAAUUAGAGUGUUUCAGGCAGGCUAGGCCGGAAUACAUUAGCAUGGAAUAAUGGAAUAGGACUACGGUCUCUUUGUUGGUUUGAGGGGCUGCAGUAAUGAUUAAUAGGGAUAGUCGGGGGCAUUCGUAUUCAAACGACAGAGGUGAAAUUCUUGGACCGUUUGAAGACGAACUAAGGCGAAAGCAUUUGCCAAGAAUGUUUUCAUUA
rnacentral:rRNA from 1 species